UGGAUUCACAUCUCUGACUUUC
rnacentral:siRNA from 1 species